rnacentral:lncRNA from 10 species
GUACCUAGGGGUAUUAAAAGGGGGAAGUUAACAGUGAGAACAAAUAAUAAAGAUUCUUAUAUGUAGCCAAGGUUUGCUCUUUGUGUACUCUGAGACUACCAUACGUAAAGGCUGGUGUUUGAACUUGGCUCCUAGCAGUGGCAGCUUGUUAGGGAAGAGUUCUGGCUCGGGAGGCAGGAGAUCAGGCUUCUGGUCUAGCUCUGCCAUUAACCGGCUCUGGAGCCUGGGCCGCAGUGUCCCAUAUUUCAGUUGGGCUGGAGGUUUCCCUAGGAUCACCAGCUGUCAUGGACUGAUUUGUGUCUCUCCAAAUUCAUAUGUUGAAUACUUAACCUGCCAUGCGAUUGUGAUUGGAGAUAAUUCCUUUAGGGAAGCAAUGAAGGUUAAAUGAGGUCAUAGGUGGGAGCUUAAUCCAAUGGGACUGGGGUCCCUACAAGAAGAGGAAGACACCAGAGCUCUCUGUCUCCACACACAGAGAAAAGAGGCUGUAUGAGGACACAAGAGAAGGUAAUAGCUGUCUACAAACCAAGAAGAGAAGCCUCUCCAGAAAAUGAACCCUGCUGGAACUUGGUCUUGGACUUUCCAGCCUCCAGAACUGGGAGAAAAUAAAGUUCAAAAUAAAGUUCUGUUGUGUAAGCCCCCGAGUCCAUGGUAUUUUGUUAUGGCAGCCCUAGCAGACUAAUAACACCUGCUAAUUAAACUGCUUGUUCUCCACUUGUUGUCUCAGGGUCUGUUCCUAGGGAACCUGGACUCAGACAGAUGCUCUGCUUAAUUAGACCCCAGGGAAAUGUAAAUGAAAACCACGUGUGAUGCCAUGUCACAAGUACUAGGAUAACCAGAAGGAAAUCUGACCACAUCGGAUGCUGGUGAGGUUGGGAAGCUGUCAUAUUUAGCUGACGGAGGUGUGAGUCGGCAAACCACUUUGGAAAAC